rnacentral:tRNA from 1 species
GUGCCCGUGGCCUAACGGAUAUGGCAAUACUCUUCUAAAGUAUAGAUUAUAGGUUCGAGUUCUGUCGGGCACGCCA